UACGAAGGGGGCUAGCGUUGCUCGGAUUGACUGGGCGUAAAGGGCGCGUAGGCGGUUUGCAUAGUCAGACGUGAAAUUCCUGGGCUUAACCUGGGGGCUGCGUUUGAUACAUGCAGGCUUGAGUUCGGAAGAGGGUCGUGGAAUUCCCCAGUGUAGAGGUGAAAUUCGUAGAUAUUGGGAAGAACACCGGUGGCGAAGGCGGCGACCUGGUCCGAUACUGACGCUGAGGCGCGAAAGCGUGGGGAGCAAACAGG
rnacentral:rRNA from 1 species